UUAAUAUUUAAAAAUUCAUCAUAUGGGCACAUUAUUUCAAGGCUUCAACAUCUUUCAAAACCAACUGACUCUUAUCCCCUCCAGACACUUCUAAUGAAGGUCACCAUCUCUAACUUUCCCCAAUACAUAUAUAAUACAAACAGUAUGGUUGCAGAAUUCUAUGGUACUAGAGGUAUAGUAAUUUGCCGGUCUGUUUGUUUUCCAUCCACUAGGCAAGUAUAUCCCUCCUCCCACUCUUUGUUCCUUCCAUCAGUCAUCAGAAUGAAGGGGCUGGAAAACGUUGUUCUGGUUUCCAUUUAGAGCUGAUUGCCCAUUGGAUACUGCCUGGAGGCCUUGGGGAUGAAAGAAGUUCUGCAGUUUGCAACAGUGGCAGAAUCAGGUAACACAUCAGGGAACCGGCCAGCCUAAGACAGGAGGGGACAGAAAAUGACGAUGGUUUCCGAUACAUUCCUCAGCUCAACUGUUCUAGUUAGUGGUCCACAUGCCUCCUAUAAGUGGCCUCUGUGACUUCUAUAAAUGUCCAUUAGUAUCUUAUAGAAAGCCUAGAUUUGAAGAUACAUGUGAGGUAAGGAGGGAAAUAAGAUGCAAACCUAAAGAAUGAACAAGGUAGAAACUCUUGUGUUCUUGCUUUGACCUUGGUUACUGCAUGUCCAUUUUCAUUUAGUGUACAGCUUCUUCCCUGCCCUAACAUUAACUUCAAAGUCUGUAAUGUAUCUCCUCAGUUCUUCUCCCCUACAUGAUGUCUUAUGCUUAAUGUCUUUCCCCUACACGACCUCUUAUGCUUAAUGUCUUUCCAAGUAUGGUGAAAACAAAUCUUCAGGAUUAGGAAAACUAGUACUUAAUAAAUACCAUUCUUCUAAUGGCAAUUCGGUAGACUCCCUUGAACUUCUUACCUUGGCAUCUAGAAACCCUCUCCCCAAUCUAGCAAUCUUUCUCACAGCACCUCCGCAGAGGAGUUUCCCCACGAACAGGAAGUAGAGGCCAAGCAAACACAGUCCAGUUCUUAUUACUGAAGAGUUGAGAUUCAGAAAUAUCGCUUUUCUUGAGGAAAAUGGCUAAUUUUCUCUCUUAAGACAAAAAUCAGAAUUCCUGAUAGUUGCCCAAACUCUUCCCCUAAAAAGAAAAGUUAACAAACUUUUAAAGUCAGAUGAAAAUUUUAACAUUGGAAUAUUUUCCAGAGAAAAAUACCUUAAAGUUUAGAACAAGUAUUUAUGAUCCUUAUAU
rnacentral:lncRNA from 1 species